UACGUAGGGUGCAAGCGUUAAUCGGAAUUACUGGGCGUAAAGCGUGCGCAGGCGGUUAUGUAAGACAGUUGUGAAAUCCCCGGGCUCAACCUGGGAACUGCAUCUGUGACUGCAUAGCUAGAGUACGGUAGAGGGGGAUGGAAUUCCGCGUGUAGCAGUGAAAUGCGUAGAUAUCAGGAGGAACACCGAUGGCGAAGGCAGGUCUCUGGGCUGACACUGACGCUCAUGCACGAAAGCGUGGGGAGCAAACAGG
rnacentral:rRNA from 1 species